GUGCCAGCCGCCGCGGUAAUACGGAGGUGGCGAGCGUUGUUCGGAAUUACUGGGCGUAAAGGGCGCGUAGGCGGGCGGGGAAGUCGCGUGUGAAAGCCCCGGGCUCAACUCGGGAACGGCGCGCGAGACUCUUCGUCUUGAGUCCCGGAGAGGCGGGUGGAAUUCCUGGUGUAGCGGUGAAAUGUGUAGAGAUCAGGAGGAACACCGGUGGCGAAGGCGGCCCGCUGGACGGAGACUGACGCUGAGGCGCGAAAGCGUGGGGAGCAAACGGGAUUAGAUACCCCUGUAGUCC
rnacentral:rRNA from 1 species